CCCGCCCGAGCCUCGGGGUGGCCCAGGGCGGGCUGGCGCGGGCGGGAAAGCUUAGCCCGCGAGCCGGGACAGGGGUCCCUCCGCCGCCAAGGGGAGUGCGUGCGUGCGUGCGUCCCCCCGCCCGCAGCCGCGGAGUCUGCUCGAACGCAGGGGGCAGCCGGGAUCCUGAGGGGCAUCGAGGUCACCAGCCUAACAAGAGCCUCACCAGGCUCCCCAAAACCACAGGCUGUGAAAAAUAACAUCGACAACGCACAACACCAAGUAGGUCGUCCGGAUUCCUCUGGUUGUUAAAUCCCCAUCCUUCCUAAAGAUUAGCGAUCUUUGCAUGCUGGACACCAUAACCCUCAGCGUCUCACUCCCCAUAUCUAGGUGGACACAGUUCUUGGUGCUUUCUCAGUAUUGCCGCUAAUGUCCCCUUUCCCCUUCGUCGCUGCAACAUGGAGAGCAUCUCUACCUUUUUAGAAAUGGGUCUAAUUAGACAAGAGCAUAUCAAUCGUAUGGCUGUUUAGUAGGAGGGCAGGGAAGGGCAGCUAUUUCACUCCUGGCGCAGAUGGAGAAGAGGCUUUGUAAAGUUAUGUGGUUUUGCCCAAGGCUCUUGUCAGUUAUGUGGUUUUACCGAAGACACAGGAAGUGGUGUAGCCAGUUCUCAAGCCAAGGUUUUUCUGACUCAGAAUCCCAGCGCCCAUCCAGUCCAGUUUGCUGCUGUUGAAUAUCCUUUUCACUCCCUGCAGAUUGGAUCCAGGCCACCAUUCCUUGAAUUUGAAAAGGCUGCUCACCAGAGUGAGUGACUUUAUGACACCCGACGUGUGUAGGUGCAGGACAUGUGGCCCAGCUGACUAUUGUGGGUCGACUCCCAGGCAUUCCAGGAUUUCCCAUUUGUGGGGAAGGCAGGAAAGACAGGGUUUCUGCUGUCUGUACCUCAGGCUACUCAUAGAGCCACAGACACACAAUAGAGCUGGGAAGUUCUCAAGGGGUCUCUUGUCUAAUAACGUCCUUGUCCAGAGGGUGAAACCCAGGCCGGAGAGGGCACCAGGAGAGUGCACGAAGAGGCAGAUGAACACAGAGUUCCCCAGCCUGCAGGCUCCAGCACUGCCCAUGUUACCCCUGCCACCUUCCUGUUCCAGGAAGCUUUUCCAGCCUGGGUCACUGCUGAUGAGCUGACCCCUGGACACUCUUCUCCAUUACUUGGUGUUGCCAACACAAACCUCACUCACCACAAAUAAUCAAAAGGAACACUUUUGCUGAUUCACCGAUGAGACCAUGUCUGGUUUAUAUUAACCAGCAUAAGUAAGUUACUAAUUCACACCAGAAGCCAAAAUGAAGAGAACAGAUGCCUCACAGGAUUUGGCAACCGCCUGUGACCCUGCACCCUUUUCUGGAAAAUCCUCAUUCAUGUCAUUAAUCUCACUGACCAAUUCAGUUAUUUCAAACACUGUUUUCCUUAAAUACAAUUUGUUUUCAUUCAUUCAUUGAUUGUUCAUUGCGUGCCGGCAGGUGUGUGCCCUGCCCACUGCAUCCGCCUGUGUCACCUGUCCCCCAGAUCCCUCGCACACACCCUCCCAUAGGGCUGCGGGCGCUGUUCUCCCCCGGGGUUUGGUCUCAGCCCUAUCACAUCCUCGCCAUCUCACGUUAGGAUAGUCUUUCUGCUUGCUGACUGCCGCACUAGAUCGUGAACAUCAUGAGGACAGCAAGCAUGUCUUAGUCCUCCUUGCUUCCUGUGGGUAAAAUUGUAACAUUUACAGAGUAUCUCGCCUGGCUUUAGUUCAUUUGCAUAUCCUCAGGGGUGGAGAGAAGUUCAUCUCCACGUCAAUGGGUAAUUACCAGGGCAACCAAGGACGUGUCUGAACCGGGGCUUUUAAAGGGAGGGGCUUGCUUGCUUCUUCGGGAGCAGAGAGAGAUGGCCCUGGA